ACCUCCUUCGGGAGGGGAUUAGUGGCGAACGGGUGAGUAACACGUGGGCAAUCUGCCCUGCACUCUGGGACAAGCCCUGGAAACGGGGUCUAAUACCGGAUAUGAGCCUGGGAGGCAUCUCCCGGGUUGUAAAGCUCCGGCGGUGCAGGAUGAGCCCGCGGCCUAUCAGCUUGUUGGUGAGGUAACGGCUCACCAAGGCGACGACGGGUAGCCGGCCUGAGAGGGCGACCGGCCACACUGGGACUGAGACACGGCCCAGACUCCUACGGGAGGCAGCAGUGGGGAAUAUUGCACAAUGGGCGCAAGCCUGAUGCAGCGACGCCGCGUGAGGGAUGACGGCCUUCGGGUUGUAAACCUCUUUCAGCAGGGAAGAAGCGAAAGUGACGGUACCUGCAGAAGAAGCGCCGGCUAACUACGUGCCAGCAGCCGCGGUAAUACGUAGGGCGCAAGCGUUGUCCGGAAUUAUUGGGCGUAAAGAGCUCGUAGGCGGCUUGUCACGUCGGAUGUGAAAGCCCGGGGCUUAACCCCGGGUCUGCAUUCGAUACGGGCAGGCUAGAGUUCGGUAGGGGAGAUCGGAAUUCCUGGUGUAGCGGUGAAAUGCGCAGAUAUCAGGAGGAACACCGGUGGCGAAGGCGGAUCUCUGGGCCGAUACUGACGCUGAGGAGCGAAAGCGUGGGGAGCGAACAGGAUUAGAUACCCUGGUAGUCCACGCCGUAAACGGUGGGCACUAGGUGUGGGCAACAUUCCACGUUGUCCGUGCCGCAGCUAACGCAUUAAGUGCCCCGCCUGGGGAGUACGGCCGCA
rnacentral:rRNA from 2 species